AUUGAACGCUGGCGGCAUGCCUUACACAUGCAAGUCGAACGGCAGCACGGGUGCUUGCACCUGGUGGCGAGUGGCGAACGGGUGAGUAAUACAUCGGAACAUGUCCUGUAGUGGGGAAUAGCCCGGCGAAAGCCGGAUUAAUACCGCAUACGAUCUACGGAUGAAAGCGGGGGCCCUUCGGGCCUCGCGCUAUAGGGUUGGCCGAUGGCUGAUUAGCUAGUUGGUGGGGUAAAGGCCUACCAAGGCGACGAUCAGUAGCUGGUCUGAGAGGACGACCAGCCACACUGGGACUGAGACACGGCCCAGACUCCUACGGGAGGCAGCAGUGGGGAAUUUUGGACAAUGGGCGAAAGCCUGAUCCAGCAAUGCCGCGUGUGUGAAGAAGGCCUUCGGGUUGUAAAGCACUUUUGUCCGGAAAGAAAUCCUUGGCCCUAAUACGGUCGGGGGAUGACGGUACCGGAAGAAUAAGCACCGGCUAACUACGUG
rnacentral:rRNA from 1 species